AAUAAAUUUGUUUUCCCCCCCUCCCCAAUCUUUUUCCUGUGCCAUUCCCUUUGAAACUGCACUCAUUACCACCUCCCCCAACAGGGGCUGCUUGCAUGUCCUCCCAGAGAGAAACCUCUCAGCUGGAACCUGGCAUGGAUUUGCUGCUUGGGACAGGAAACAUGGCUGCACAGAGUGUGUUUCACCUCUGCAUCAUGCUGUCCUGAGGAGUUAGCAAGGAGAUCCACCAACACAUAUUGCAUUUUUUUUCCCCAAAAGGAAAGAAUAGGCAAAUACUGAAACAUAUAAAACAGCUUUUGAACUGGUUCUCAGUCCAUCUGCAUGACCAAGACAAAUUCAACAAGACCGUGAAUAAAAAAAAAUACAGCAACAGAUUUCAGGUGUUUAACCACUGACUUCUACUCAAAGAAAGUCUCAGGCAACAAUAAUGCUAUCCAUGUGCUGCAGUAAAUGAGCGUUCCAGCUUGGCAAGCAGUUUCACUGUUACACACGCAUGCAGACAUAGCAGCCCACCUUCUGCUGGUGUAACGUCACUGCGACCUUCAUGGCUGUCAGCGGAAUUAUUUCUGAUUUACUUCAGUAUGGCCAAAGGAAGAGUUUGGCCCCACUUGUGUGCCUUUAUGGGGAGAAAUCUGGAAGACAGUGCCUGUUCUCAUUGAAAGCGCAGCAGUGUUGGUGAAGAAAAACAUACAGGCUAUGACUGCAGCCAGCUGCGACCUUACUAUGGCACACCAUCCUCAAGCUGUUCUUAAAGCCUGGCAAGUCUGCUACCAUGUCUGCUGCCUGUGGGACUGAGGUACAUUAAAGCACUCACGUGAAAUGACUUUUCAGCUCAACUCUGACCCAGAGACACCUCUGGAGAGACAGCAGUGGAGCAACAGCAGGGGCAGCACGUGGGGAUCUGAAACCAUUAAAGCUGUUUUUUGUGCUCCCAGCACACCUCCGUCCGAGUGCUGCCUGGUAUUACAUCAAAGCCUGGAAAGUUUGGUAAUAAAUACAUAAUGUUUCAUUUAAAUAAACUCUCCAAGCAUAGGAAUAACAAAACUAGGGAGUAACCUAAAUUCUUUACCAGUUCUGACUGGACAUAGUUCUGCUGCACUGAUAAGGAAUCGUGACAAAUAACUGUAAUUUGUUUUUUGUGCUUUACCUCAUUAGAAAGGUCAAGGGACCCCUCUAACAAUCACAGUCCUAUUGGCCAUGGGGAACUUCACUUGGUGAAGUCUCUUUCUCUACAACCUGGAUUUCCUUUGGGUAGGAAUAGAGUGCAACACCCAUCAUGCUGUUCUGCAUUAGUGCAGCUUCUGCUAGCACAGCUCUGCUUCAAGGCCUAACCACAUUCAAUAAAAU